CAAAAGCCAAGUUACAAUUAAACACAAAUUAAAUUGUACAUGAGGACUAUCUUGGAGUCCUGGCACACGAAUCCAGCAAGCAGGUGUAUGUUAUUCAGUGUGCCAUUGUACAUUUUUGGAACAAGUCCAAGUACACCACAAAAAUGUGCUAUUUAGGGAGUAUGAUUGGAUUUUCCAUCCAGUGUGCAGACAUGGACGCUGGUUCCUUGUUGAUGCAAAAGUGGAAUCGCGACAGGUCUACAUCAUGGACUCCCUAAGUCCUGCAAAAGAGCGGCAGUUCUUCUUGCAAUGGAGAAACUUCAUGAAGGAGAGAGGCGCUCAAACAGGGAGGUGUCUGGCUGGAUGGACUCUUCAAAAAGUCCCGGUUGGUAAACAGCAGGAUGGCUCAAGCUGCAGCCUUUUUGUGCUGAUGGAAAGUCCUGUUUUUAAAAGCACAGAUUUUGAAAGUGCCAUUUCAUUGACUCUACUUGCUUGUUUGUGGUUUGAACUUAAAGCCACACAAUGAUGGGUCAUGAAAUCAUUUGUAAAAUGAACUUUGUACUGCAUAUUGAAAAUAAAUGUUCAAUUUCAGAAUCCUGACGCCCUGCUAAAAGAUGCAGAUCCUGCCAGCGUCCAAGAGCCUCAGAUAAUAAAUAGACUGAUUAGGGCACAAUAAGAUCAUUGUUUUUUUCAGUCAUUGUACUGUUGUGCUAUUUUGUAA